rnacentral:rRNA from 1 species
UACGUAGGGGGCUAGCGUUGUCCGGAAUCAUUGGGCGUAAAGCGCGUGUAGGCGGUCCGGUAAGUCCGCUGUGAAAGUCGAGGGCUCAACCCCCGAAUGCCGGUGGAUACUGUCGGGCUUGAGUACGGGAGAGGCGAGUGGAAUUCCUGGUGUAGCGGUGAAAUGCGCAGAUAUCAGGAGGAACACCGGUGGCGAAGGCGGGUCUCUGGGCCACUACUGACGCUGAGAAGCGAAAGCAUGGGGAGCGAACAGG